rnacentral:rRNA from 1 species
UACGUAGGGCGCAAGCGUUGUCCGGAAUUAUUGGGCGUAAAGAGCUCGUAGGCGGUCUGUCGCGUCUGGUGUGAAAUCCCAUGGCUCAACUGUGGGCUUGCAUCGGGUACGGGCAGACUAGAGUGCUGUAGGGGAGACUGGAAUUCCUGGUGUAGCGGUGGAAUGCGCAGAUAUCAGGAGGAACACCGAUGGCGAAGGCAGGUCUCUGGGCAGUUACUGACGCUGAGGAGCGAAAGCAUGGGGAGCGAACAGGA